rnacentral:antisense_RNA from 1 species
CUUCUCGGCGCCAUUUUGUCUCGGCAGCGGUGGCCGUAGCUCCAUCGCAUUUUAUGUUUCUGGCGAGAAGGGAACGGAGUUUUCAUCAGGUAGAUUGGUUUUUGUGCAGCCGUCCUCCACCGUUUCCUCCAGGACAGCACCUAGUCGUGGCCGGAAGAGUCUCAGAGCUGUCAGAAAGAAAUAAUCGGCUGGGCGUGGUGGCUCAUGCCUGUAAUCCCAGCACUUUGGGAGGCCCAGGCGGGUGGAUCACCUGAGGUCGAGAGUUCAAGACCAGCCUGACCAACAUGGAGAAACCCCAUCUCUACUAAAAAUACAAAAUUAGCCGGGCGUGGUGGCGCAUGCCUGUAAUUCCAGCUAAUUGGGAGGCUGAGGCAGGAGAAUCCCUUAAACCUGGAAGACGGAGGUUGCAAAUAAGACUGAUUUUAUGGGAAAAUUAAGCAAAUGCUCCAGUUUGAAAAACCUGGAUCUGCGAUCUGUUUGUGAGUGGUGUUCAGUUAACAGAACAAU